rnacentral:tRNA from 1 species
UCCCUGGUGGCUAAGUUGUUAAAGACUCUGCCUGCAAUGCAGGAGACCCAGGUUCAAUCCCUGGGUGGGGAA